CUGCAGUCUACCCACCACGGUUGACUGAACAUGUCUGUCCCGUACGUCUGCUCAGUGUGAGCAGACGAUAUUCAGGUCAUUGUCGUCUGGUCGUCCACUGGCAGCCAUAUAUAUAUAUCCUUCACAAAUCACGGAAAUACAGUCGUGAGGACUACGAGAACAACGAUGGAGACACCCGAGAAGCAGUACUACGCCGACGACGAGGCAGUCCUGACGCCAACGGACAAACUGAAGUUCGGCAUUCCUCAUCGGCUUCCCAGUCACCAUGUUCAUUUUGACUAUCAUCCUCAUGGCGGCAUACAACUAGGUCAAGGUCAAAUAUAUGAUGGAGACCAAUUACUCAGACAAUAGGCGCCUUAAGCAACACCACAACCGCAGCAACAAAACGUCAACAACAACAGCACAUCCAUAGCAGUCACAUCAACAACUGCAGCAGCAUCUGACCGUUCUUUCGACAGGAAUCCAUGGAGACCGUGCAAUAAUUAUUUCAAUGUUCAUUAAAUGUUUGUCUUUCAACAA